rnacentral:tRNA from 1 species
GGAGAGGUCGCAUAGUGGUCUAGUGCGCUCGCUUGGAAAGCGAGUAAACCUGCAAGGGUUUCGAGGGUUCAAAUCCCUCCCUCUCCGCCA